CAGCUAAGCGCGCAAUUUGGAAUGUACCAGCUAAGCGAAUUUUUGUUAAUUUUGUCAAUUAAUUAAUUUAACUUGCUUGUAAAUUUCUCGUAUUUGUAUUGUUAUAAAACUGGUUGUUUAGUACACCAUGGAUGUUGGUUCACAUUUACAGUUUAUAAAAUAUCUAGAGAAGAGAUUACCUGCUGAAGACUCCAAAGCGAUGUCUCUUGUGCUAGAUCGUCUAGUACAAAGAUUUCUCCAAGAAGAGCGUUAUACCAAUGACAUCUGAUACGUAAACUACUACAUUAAAUGUGCAAGUUAUUACAAUGAGCCCAUCAAACUAUACAGCCACAUAUACAGUAAGGGCAUUGGCACCAGAGAUGCAGUCCUCUAUGUGGCGUGGGCUCAUCUAUGUGGCGUGGGCUCAACAGUUUGAGCAGCAGGGCCUGCUUCAACAGGCUGACACCGUGUACCAGAGAGCCAUGGAAAACCAAGCUAAGCCAACUGACACUGUCCUUCAGCAAUACAGAAUGUUCCAAACCAGGACUUCUGGAAGUGGGGCAGGGGCUUCAGAAGCUGUACGGAAUCCUCUUCAGAAGUCCAACUUGGUAAAUCAGCUGCAAACCCACAGAGUGCCCAGCCCACAGUGCAAGGACCCUGAACGUCUGUUCCAACUCCCUACAGACAGAACUGUUCGCAUAGGACCGUCAGAGGUUGGUUAGAGAGCAGGAGGAGGAGGUAAUGAGGAUGAACCAGCUGUUGGAGGAGCUGGAGAGUAAUCUCUGUGUGAGCUCCGCCAGUGCUCUACCAGUGCAGCAGGCACUCUGCACACCUGCAACAGAUCUGAAUCCUGAGUUCCUCCAACAUUCUUUAAGGCACCCUCUACUCUCGAGCAACCUCGGCAUCAAACUCACUCCAGGCUUUAGACUGAACAGUGUACAGGACCCCAGACAAGGCAUGGUUAGGGAAUCUGAGACGCACCUUCAGUGCGACCAUCUCAGGGCUCCCAUUACAGACAGUCUGCGCUCACAGCGAUCCGUUUCUCCAUCUGGACAGUUGGAGGAGGUAAACUCCUCCCAUAGAUGCUCCCUCCACAUGCCAGAAGCAGCAAUGGGUCACUUGCGUGAAUAUACAAAAGCUCCAAAACCAUUUGCAGUCGCUUCCCAGGCAACUUCUCUACAAGCUUCUCUAGUUCAGCCCCAACCAGAACGAAACCCUAAGCCAUUUGGGUCGGUCCCACAGAAGCCAGCAGCCUACAGAUUUGACGUGCAGCUUGGUGGAGUUCCAUAUCAGGGUGGUCACUCUCACCUCAGCAGCAUUUUCCAGCAGCACAACGGCAGCGAUCAUCAUGAGGUGUCUGUCAGUGAAGCUCCUGAGUCAGAGGUGAAAUUAGAUGUGUCACAGGGAGGGACUGGAAACGUGUCCCAUAUCACUCCUAACACUUCUCUGGGACUGGUGCAAGUCACCCCGUCCAGGGUGCUCCCAUCCCCCACAGUCAACACACGGGAGGCACUUGGUGAUAAAUGCAUACUUUUAUUGGUGACCCAGUCAUAAACCAUGUUGUGUUUACAUAUUCUAAUGUAUUACCAUACCUGUGUAUGGGAAAGACUGUACAACCAAUGGAGUCCUUAGUAUCUCACCUCUUUACCCUCACCUCCAGAUGCUAUCAUGGACAUGUUCCAGGUUCCAACCCUCCUGCAGGAGGACCAGUUCCGCAGCAUGCCAAUGCAUCCACAUCAGGCGGAGAAGAGCUUUGAUGCUGGCUACCAGAGAACGGCUUCAUUCAGCAAGCCCCCCAGUGCAGUCCCUUUCGCUAUCUUUCAGGAUGAGAAUGACAUAAAGGAGAAAUGCAGUGCUGCUAUGGUGGACAAUGCAAAGCCACCAAGGGCCCUAGCAGAAAUCCCUCUGUCUAAACCAGAGAAACAAAAUGAACGUCCAUCGGAAUUGAUACCAGAUGAGAGCACUAUGUGGGAAGCAUGCUACAACUCCCUGGCCGCCUGCCCCAACAGCACCAGAGACUUUUCACUGUCGGCUCACCUGGCCUCCACGCCCUUCCAAAACAAAGUUCCUUACUCCUGGGACUUUGAGCAGGAUCAAGAAAAUGAUCAACCCAGUGGCUUUGGGGGUCCGGAAGAAGGCCCUUUCCUACGACAGCCCACAAAACUCAGCCCUAUCAUAGAGCAGAGCCCACCUGAUGGGUUACCUGAGACUGGCACGGAGUGCUCUAUGAGAGCUCAGGGCUUUGCUGAGCAGGGCACCAUCGUGGGAGAAGGGCUAGCCCUGGCCCAGCGAAGCCUGGCUACUGCUCCAUGACUGAAGUGCAGCAUCAUGCCCCGGCCGCACUGUCCUUCAGAGACCAGACUGCCCCCCUGACCCAUGCUGAGGUGGCAGUGGCCAAAAGCCCUCCUUCCAAGGCCUCAAAGCCAGACUGGGAUGUCUAUGUGAGCCCAGAGCAGUCCUCAAAGCCAGCUUUUCCUCUCCCACAGCAUGCACCUGUGGCAGAAGCAUUCCUUUCAAAGAGCCAGAUAUAUGCCCCCAAAUCCAACUUUGAUGUUCCAACUUGUCCAGAGAAAGCUCCAACGCCUGCCUCCAAGUGUGCACCCAAGUCAGACUGGUUAGUGGUCAAAAGCCCAGAGGUUGUGGUUGAACAUGACUUGGAUGCCUUCAUGAGUGCCCGUCAGGGUCAGAGAACAGUCGGCAUCCCUCUGGAGACCAUGGACAUCCCCGUAAGUCCAGAACCACCUAAAUUUGGCUCGGAUGUGACCAUGAGUCCAUUCCAGUCGUCAUCAAAGUUCAGAAUGGAUAUUCCUAUGAGCCCAGCUCCAGAGGUGAGGAAUGGCAUGGAUAUUCUUAUGAGCCCAGACCGAGGUUCAAAGGUGAACAUGAUGUGCCCAUGAGUCCAGCAGGUCAAGGGGCAGCGGCUGUAGAGCUGGUCUCCGACCCCUGGGAUGAGGAGCUGAUUUCCUCCCUGCUCUCCAAGCUGUCCACGCCACUCACCUCACAGCCUAACUUCAUCACCUGGCAGUGCAAAGCCCCCAGCAUCGCACCCAAGAUGACCAUCAAGAUGGGUAAAGGCUCCUUACGGGUUGACUGUGUACUCGGACAGGGUGCCUUUGCCACAGUCUACCAGGCAACUGACCUCAACACCUCAGAGAAGAUGAUUUUAAAGGUGCAGAAACCAGCCAAUCCGUGGGAGUUUUACAUCAACUCUCAGCUGAAUGCCCGGCUGCAGCCCAGCGUGCGCCACCUCUUUAAUAACAUCCACUCUGCCCACCUCUUCCAGAACGGUAGCGUGCUAUUGGGCGAGCUCUACAACUGUGGCACCCUAUUGAAUGCUGUAAACCUGUACAAGAACCUUAGCGACAAGGUGAUUCCCCAGCCUCUGGUGAUCUACUUCACUGUCUGCAUCCUGCACAUGGUGGAACAGCUGCACAAUAUCCACAUCGUUCACGCUGACAUCAAACCAGACAACUUCCUGCUGGAGAGAGGUUCCUGGAGAACAAGUCUUUUGACCAAGAUAAUCUGGAUCAUGGCCUCUCCCUAAUUGACCUGGGUCAGAGCAUUGACAUGACUCUGUUCCCAGAGGGCACGGCUUUCACUGCCAAGUGUAUGACCUCGGGCUUCCAGUGUACAGAGAUGCAGAGUGGGAGACCAUGGAACUACCAGACGGACUACUUUGGGAUAGCUGGAACGGUGUACUGCAUGAUUUUUGGAACAUACAUGCAAGUGACACAGGAGGGUGCGUGUGGAAGACAAAUGCAGUAUUUAGAAGAAAUCCCCACAGUGAUCUGUGGACAGAGUUCUUCCACACUCUGCUGAAUGUACCUGACUGUAGCUCCCUGCCCUGCCUGCGGAGCCUGCGCAGUAGACUGAGCACUGUGCUCCAACAGAACUACAGCAACAAGCUGCCAUCGCUGAAGACGCGCCUGGUUAUCCAGGUGUUAGAGAGCAGGACGGCAAGGAGAUAGAACUCCCUGAGAACCUUUCUACUCUUGGGUCCUGUUCAGUAGGUAUACAAUUAAAGAAAGCGGUCUGAAACUGAGUGGAACUUGGGAGAUACUAUCUGGACUUUAUGAACAACCCUAAUGAACACGACCCUGGAUACUACUGUGAUGUCGAAUUUCUAGUCCAUUUGUAAAUACAAAAGAUUGACCUUAAAUCGGUUCCGGUCACUGUGAUAACCUUUUAUGCAUUUUAAUGUUUUUUAGUGAUAACCUUUUGUCCAUUUAAAUAACAGAAAUUGUGAGGUUGGAGAUGUUAUGGUGUAUUUUCAUUUGUAAAGAAUAUAUAUAUAUUUUUAAAUCCUGUCUUGCAAGUGUAGUUUAUCAUGGCAUUUGAAUUUCUUUUUGGCUCCAACUUCAUGCAGAAAUAUGUCACUAGGUGUCACCCUUGUUCAAGAAGUUGAGCAACAUGCUCUAGUUUGUGAAUUUGGUGUGUAAUUUUAAGGACAGUAUUUGAUAUUAACAGGGUAUAUAAUUGUGUAUUCCCUUGAUACUACAAUGCAAGAUAAAUGAAGGCAAGGCAAUUAUUUAUGUUUCAGUACCUAUUGCCAGAUGUUUGAUGAUAGAAGCUAGCUUAAUACACCAGCAGAAUACAGCAAUCAAACUGCUUUUCAUCCAGAACAACGGAUCAAACCAAAUUAAGGAAGUGAUGUACGAAAUGAGCACAAAAUACUUGACUGGAUCCAAACGAAAUUCUUUUCCCGUUGGAGCAAUUCAGUUUGGAGUCAUACCAAAGACUUAAAAUGGAACCCGAUGCCUCUGCUUGGCCAUUGGCAUAAGAACAUGGAUUGGGUGAUGAACCCCAGUGUCCUGCCCAGGAGGUGUCCUAUGAUCUGUUCUGGUUUGGACAAGGCUUUCUUACAAUUCAGUUUGGAUCCAGGCUACAUAUGUAAUUACCACAAUCUGUGCCUCUACAGUACAGUUCCCUCAGAGGUGCCUCGAGUUUUGCCACUCUAUUCCAUUGCUAGGCACCCUGUUUGACUCCCACUUUAACAGCCCUGCCCUCUGAUGUCCUCAGCAUUAUUAAUGAGCUUUGUUUGGUCACAGUUUUUCUGUCCCCAAUGAUACCCUAUUCCCUCUAUGGCAACCUAUUCCCCUGUGAGCCCUGGUCAAAAGUAGUGCACGGGAGAGGGAAUGGGGUGCCAUUUGGGAUACUAGCAUUGACAAUCAGAAGCCUGUGAUAUGAAAAGGGAGCAUGGCGCAGCAGCGAUUUGAGAUUUCCCCGCACCUGGAACGGUGAUGCUGAAACAGACCAGACUUUUAGGGUGGACGCUAGAGUAAACCUCUCAAAGGGUGUUAACAAUAGAAGCGUGCCUCAAUCUGUUUUUCCUUUACCAUCCCCUCAGGCGAGAGUGAUAUCAGAGACCAAUACUAGCCUGGCUGACGCGACCCAUGUGACUACUGUAGGACAUCGAGAGCUGGUGUCAGCCAGACUACAACAAAACAGGUGGUCCUCAAUCAACCCCUGAGUAACUGCACUUUGAAAGUAAUCCUCAAUAUAAAUAUCUGGCUUUUAUGCUGUGGGUCACAGUGGGGUGUUUUUCAUAGUAAUCAAGGCAAAAUAUAUUUGUUGAAUAGAUAUAGGCUAGGACAAGGAAAAGGGUUGGGUGUGACUGAUCAUUUAAAAAUCCACCAAAAGCUUCUGAGAGGAAAAUGUAUCACUAUAUUCAGCCCACUGAUCUGACACCUUGUAAUGAGAACCUAGACACCCUAACGAUUAGGGAGGAUUUACACAUAGAACAAACCUCAUAACAUUGAAUAUGAAUCAAGGCAAUUACUUUUUUUAUUUGGUGUAUUCCAGUGUGUGAGAUAUUAAAUGUCACAAACUGAAAAUUGAGUUUGUAGUUGUGUGGUGGCCUUAACAUGCACUGUUUACAAUAACACAACUUUCUGGCUAUCUGCUAGCUGCUUUUUUAUUUAUUUUUAUAUUGAGUGAGAUAUCCAUGGGGUAUAUCAUCACAUUAAGGACGCUUCAUUACUUUCCUACAUACAUUUUAAAAAAAAAGAAAAACUCUGAGGUGACUGAUUCAGACUGAACAGUUUGAUUAUUUCACAAAUACAAUCUGAUGCUUGCAGGUGAUUAUUAUUUGCCAUAAGAAGCUUCCAUGAGGAGAACAGCCAGCAAACCUGUUCAUACUACAAGCGUCAAUGUCAGUCGUCUGUCUUUUUGACUAGAGCCCGUUAUCCCCUUAUAUUCAGUUUAGUUGAACGUCCAUUGCUGUGACUGCAGCAGUGACAGACCAUCCAUAGGGUGCCAUGCACAGUGGUGAGAGAAACCACUGGUCUUCAGCAGUCCCAGUUGGGCUCUCAGCAGCCAUCUAAACACCCAUUUAACCCUACAGAGCUCCACCUUGUGGAGUGCAGCAGGCAUCAUCCUGUCUGACAGUGUCAGCCUCGUUGUCUGCCAGAGAGGAAGCUGUAACUAAUGGACACAGACACGGCUGGGGAGGUCAAAUAAAAAUGUUUUUGUCACCUGCUUUGUAAACAACAGGUGUGGACUAACAGUAAAAUGCUUACAUAUAGACCCUCCCCAACAAUGGAGAGCAAUAAAAUAGAGAAAUAAUACAAAAAAGUAAAAAACAUGACAGGUACACAUUGAGUAACAAUAACUUGGCUAUAUACACGGGGUACGAGAUGGUUAACAGUAGCAGCAUAUGCAAUGUGUCAAAGUUAGUGCAAAAAAGGGUCAAUACAUACAGCCCGGGUUGCUUUUUGGUUAACUAUUUAACUAGCUAUUUAGCUGUCUUAUGGCUUGGUGGUAAAAGAUGUUCAGGGUCCUGUUUGGCUUCAGACUUCGGUACCGCUUGCCGUGUGGUAGCAGAGAACAGUCUAUGACUUGGGUGGCUGGAGUCUUUCACCAUUUUUAUGGUCUUCCUCUGACACCGCCUGGUAUAGAGGUCCUGGAUGGCAGGGUGUUCCACCCCAGUGAUGUACUGGGCCAUCCGCACUACCCCCUGUAGCGCCUUGCGGUCGGAGGCAAAGCAGUUGCCAUAAAAAGCGGUGAUGCCGCCAGGGACCCUGGUUAAAAAGUAGCGCACUAUAAAACGAAUAGGGUGCAAUUUUGGGAUGCAUCCUGACUAUUUAUAGUAACACCCCAAUUAUAGUGUUCAGGUAUAAUUUAGCACGUGCUCCUCUCUUCAUUCCUGUAUUGCUCCAUGUGCCUGACAUGUAGUAUAAUGUAGGGCUAUGCGUCAGUGCGUGGGAGUAUAGCUCUGUAUCUCUGUUCUCACCGUCUCCAAGGUAGUCUCGCUUUCUUCUGACAUCUAGAGGAAUCCGCAAGCAUAGAUAGACUAAAAAAUAACACGGGAAUGAACCUACAAGUGUCAUUCCCAUAGGCUAACUGGGAAAAGGGCUCUGCGAUGGAAAUGUAAGCAGCAGUAAUACUUCAAGAGGCACCACCUCAGACCAAAAUAGCUCAACAUGUCAGUUUGUUACUGUAAAGUGUAUUAUAGUAUCAACAUCCCUGCCAUUUCACCUCCAUUCAGCUGUGUUUCGCUUGUGUCUGUUCUAAGACACGUUUUGACAUUGUGUAUUUUAAACAGUGCACCAUGAUAUUUACUUUUUUCUGUAGCCUAAACUAUGCAUGUUGUAUUUAAAACAAACCAAAAUUAAUAAGCCAAAACCAAUAGGCAUACCAAA
rnacentral:lncRNA from 1 species